GGCUGCUUCAGUGCUGGGUCAUCUUCAGGAGGUUGCUGUCCAAAGAUCAUCUCGCAGCUCAUGUCUUCAAAAUCUGAACAGUAAUAAUGUGAUUGGUGGAUCAACAGAAUCACUAGCAUCCCUUUUCUGAAUCGAAGCAUUACAUAUUUACAUGGAGCAAGAACGUCUUAACAAGAGAAAAGCUGUGCAUAUACCUCACACGGUCCAACAAGCCAAGGGAAGAAUAUCGUGGUGAAGGCAGCAAAGUACUCCCUGGAAAAUUUUGAAGGCGGCAUCAUCACCUUUAUCUGCCCAAAUAAAAUUCUCUCAACGCAAAUCCAGUGAAGUGUACUUGCCAUUGUGACGAUAUAACUUGGCAUUGCUUGUUCGAGAGCUUUGGCCACAAUCCCGCCCUGUGUUUCAAGCCUGAAGACUCUGGAGAUUGCCACAGCAGCCUCUAUCAAGCCCUCGUAGCCAGGCUUUGCAUUCUUUAACCCUGUAGUGCAUAAAUGAAUACAUGUAAAGGUAAGUAAAUCGGCAAGUUCCUUAGUUUGGACCUCAACAUC